GCCAGCAGCCGUAUCACCCUGCAGCUCUCAACUGGCAGCCCACUGAAGCUAAGCAGGGUUGACCCUGGUCAGUACCUGGAUGGGCUACCUUCUGGGAAGCUAUGGUUGCUGCUGGAA
rnacentral:rRNA from 1 species